CAAAGAGAGACAGAGAGUCGAUACAUUGCUGAUGCCAAGCCCUGACCACAGUGGUGGGAUGUAGCCUACUGGUAACAGUUUACAAAAAAAAAUCAGUGGUUCAGAAUCUUCAGAUGGCUCUGUACUACAGCAGCAAAGGAGAUAUUGUGAAGGUGCCUUUCCUUAAAUUGAAGGAUGAAGUCCCAAAAGAUGAAAUGGGAAUUUUCAAAGAGCUGGCUGCUGAAUGCUUCUGUUUGGGCUGUUUGAUGGCUUUAAACAACCUUGAUUGGAAGGGUCAUGUGCGCGAGCCGGAUCCUUGGAACCUAUUCCCAAUCAACAUCAGGACAACUUCGGAAGGGGAGAAUGAGCCAAUGGAGCAAUAAAGUGAAGCAAUGAAGUUGAUCC